UUGCUUCAGCAGCACAUAUACUAAGACUGGAAUGAUACAGAGAAGAUUAGCAAAGGAUGACACGCAAAUUUGUGAAGCGUUCCAUAUUUAA
rnacentral:snRNA from 1 species